rnacentral:rRNA from 1 species
GACGAACGCUGGCGGCGUGCUUAAUACAUGCAAGUCGAACGGAAAGGCCCGGCUCUUGUGGGGUGCUCGAGUGGCGAACGGGUGAGUAUCACGUGAGUAACCUGCCCUUGACUUUGGGAUAACUCCAGGAAACUGGGGCUAUUAUACGAUAGGAGAUCCUGCUGCAUGGGGGGGGUGGGAAAGAUUUGGCAGUUGGGGAUGGACGCGUGGCCUAUCAGCUUGUUGGUGGGGUGGUGGCUUACCAAGGCUUUGACGGGUAGCCGGCCUGAGAGGGUGACCGGCCACAUUGGGCCUGGGAUACGGGCCAGACGCCUACGGGAGGCAGCGGUGGGGGAUAUUGCACAAUGGGCCGAAGCCUGAUGCAGCGACGCCGCGUGCGGGAUGACGGCCUUCGGGUUGUAAACCGCUUUCGCCUGUGACGAAGCGUGAGUGACGGUAAUGGGUAAAGAAGCACCGGCUAACUACGUG